UAUAUAUACAUUAUUGCCUUUAAUGUUCAUCUUAUCCCAAUUUUACAGAUAAGGGAUUGAGACACAGAAAUUAAAUGACAGGCCAAGCCUGCAGAGCUCAUAAAUGGCAGACGUGGGAUGUUCUCUUAUGCACUAGGCAAGGGAUGCUAUGGAAUCAGUUCCUAUCCCCAGAGAAUUGGCUACCUGGUGCAUAUGAAAAACCUACAAAGGAACAGGAGAUAAUCAAACCAGUAUUCAAAGAAGGAAGCUGCAUGUUGCAAUUCUCUCCCCAGGUCCCCAGCCAUCUUCUGUUGGGAAUUGUGCUUCUAGUUUACACUGCUGAUGCUUUCCUACAUUUUAAGAAGUUUUUUUCUUUAUCUCUAAGGUAAAUUACCUCCUUGAUCAAUUUUCUGCAAAGUUUUAUUACAUGUUCUUUUUUUUUUUUUAAGACUUAUUCAUUUUAGAAAUAUUGAGAGAGAGGGAGAGAGAGAGAGAAUGCAUGCAUGCGAAUGUGGGAGGGACAGAGGGAGAAGGAGAGAGAAACCUAAGCAGACUCUGUGCUAAGCAUGGAGCCAGAUGCAAGGGUCGAUCCCAGGACCCUGAGAUCAUGACUGAGAUGAAAUCAAGAGACUUUAAGACAUUUUCUGAUGCGAGUUUUUAGGCAUUUGAGGGAUUUUGAUUCAUCUGCAAAGUAGCCACAUGUCUGUCCUUGAAGGUGAGCUUUUAUUACUCCGUGACAUGAAAUAAAAGUUUAAGUGUCUCACUUUUCUAUUAUUUGUCAGGAAGGUCUC
rnacentral:lncRNA from 1 species